AGCCUAUUAGCUCAGUUGGUUAGAGUGUCGUGCUAAUAACGUGAAAAUUAAAGGUUCGAGAAUUGUAUGGGCUU
rnacentral:tRNA from 1 species